rnacentral:rRNA from 1 species
CAGUAGCCGCGGGAAUACAGAGGAUGCAAGCGUUAUCCGGAAUGAUUGGGCGUAAAGCGUCUGUAGGUGGCUUUUCAAGUCCGCCAUCAAAUCCCAAGGCUCAACCCUGGACAGGCGGUGGAAACUACCAAGCUGGAGUACGGUAGGGGCAGAGGGAACUUCCGGUGGAGCGGUGAAAUGCGUUGAGAUCGGAAAGAACACCAACGGCGAAAGCACCCUGCUGGGCCGACACUGACACUGAGAGACGAAAGCUAGGGGAGCAAAUGGGAUUAGAUACCCCCGUAGUCCCUGUCUCUUAUAC